rnacentral:sRNA from 1 species
GGUUUUGGAUAUUAUUGCAACCAUAAACAAGGGAUCCAUUGUCUGGCAGGAGGUUUUCGAUGAUAAAGCGAAGAUUUGAUUAGUUAUGGACAAGAUUGGAGGAAAUACUAUAAAGUGGAACCUCUUGAUUUUGGUGGUACUCAGGAACAGAAACAACUUUUCAUUGGUGGAGAAGCUUGUCUAUGGGGAGAAUAUGUGGAUGCAACUAACCUCACUCCAAGAUUAUGGCCUCGGGCAAGUGCUGUUGGUGAGAGACUCUGGAGUUCCAAAGAUGUCAGAGAUAUGGAUGACGCCUAUGAGAGACUGACAAGGCACCGCUGCAGGAUGGUCGAACGUGGAAUAGCUGCACAACCUCUUUAUGCUGGAUAUUGUAACCAUGAGAACAUGUAAAAAAUGGAGAGGAAAAAGGCCACAGCAAUCUGUACUACAAUCAACUUUAUUUUGAAAUCAUGUAAAAUAAGAUAUUAGACUUUUUUAAAUAAAAUAUUUUUAUUGAUUGA